UACGUAGGGUCCAAGCGUUGUCCGGAUUUAUUGGGCGUAAAGAGCUCGUAGGCGGUUCGGUAAGUCGGAUGUGAAAACUCAGGGCUCAACCCGGAGACGCCAUCCGAUACUGCUGUGACUGGAGUCUGGUAGGGGAUCACGGAAUACCUGGUGUAGCGGUGAAAUGCGCAGAUAUCAGGUGGAACACCGAUGGCGAAGGCGGCUCUCUGGGACGGUACUGACGCUGAGACGCGAAAGCGUGGGGAGCAAACAGG
rnacentral:rRNA from 1 species